rnacentral:tRNA from 1 species
UGCCUCGUAGCUCAGCUGGUAGAGCAUGCGCGUAGCGUAGGCGGUGUCCAUGCGUGGGUUUGAAUCCCACCGAGGCUA